GUUUAUAGAUUAAUUACUUCCAAUUAUAGGUUUCUCUGCCUUCAGAGUAAUGAGUUAUACCCAGCUGACCAGCAGGUGUCUCCCACACAGGACCUCAUAAAGAAGAGCAGCUCCUCAUCAGAGCAGGAAAUGGGUGAAGAGGCAGCUCAUGGCACAGUUGAAGGUCUUUUCCAAAUUCACCAAUCCAAAAACUUUAUAUAUGGAGGCAAAACUAAGUGAACUGUACACCCAACUUCUGUGCCAUAAAGACCAACAAAUCCAGAAAAUAGCACUGGACUGUUUGAUGACAUACAAAGACCCUAACAUACUGGCCUACAAAGAACACCUGGAGAGACUUCUGAAUGAAAAGCACUAAAUGAUAUUGUCCGUUUCAACAUCUCAGAGGAAGGAGCCAUGGUACUUCCGUCGCAUAGAACCCAGCUCACUCCCAUACUUAUGAGCUGCCAUCGGGAUGAGAUUCACUUUGGUCACCGCGCACGUUAAGAGAGAUGAGCACACUGGAUAUGAGAUACCUGACUCCUGUCAUGCACAACACUUUCCAUUCUCUAGAGAUCGGUGACAUGUCUCUGGCAGACAGCGCCACCAUGUGUUUGUCAGCUGUAAUAACGCAGCUCAGUGAAGUCGGAUGCCCAAAGGCAGAUGAAGAACGAGAUUGUGCACUACAUCAUACUGGAUACAAUACGAAAAGGUUUGAAGAGCAAGACUGAGGUAAACAGUAACAGCUUAGCUUACAUUAAACUGAAUUAAUGAUUGUUUUGUUUCGAAACCAUUAGAUGAGAGAGCUUGUCCUGUCCUUCUCUUACCAACUUUAGUCAACGUUCUUGGAUAUUUCUGCUGGAGAGCAAGUAGGAAAUAAUAACAAUUUCAGUGUUUUUGUUGCCUAAUUAUAUAUUAGUAAUCAUUUAAGUAUAUUAUGUAAUUCUUUUUAAUUACAAAAAACAUCAGAAAUCUUAAUCGUCAUGUUAAUGAAUACAUUCGAAAGUUUUACCUGACUUAUUUCAUUUGUUUUCUAGACUUCUAGGUGGCUUUUAAUAUUUAAUAGUAUAAAUUGUAUUAUGUAUGUUAUUUACUUGUAUAAAUUACAUUUUAAUUAGUUAAUCAGAAAUCAUUUAAUUAAAUUGAAUUAUAUUUUUAUAAAUUGGUGAAAGAAUUAAUAAUCUUAUUUGAGAAACAUAAAUCAUGAUUCAUUUUAUCUGUUUAAGUUGUUGAUUCACAGUAUUAUCUCAGUAUACCUUUAUAACCUGUAUUGAUUGUAUUCAUUAUUUUCCUAUUUUAUUUUCUAGACUAUGUUACAAAAAUGUCUAAAUGUUUAAUUUUUAAUUAACCAUUUUUAAUGUUAAAUUGUAUCGAAGAUAAAAAAUGUUAACUUUAUUGUAAUAUUUAAUUUUUCUGUUUUUUUAUCAUACGUUAAGAUCAUUAGUUUUUAGUCAAAUCAGGUGGUUAAGAACUUACUUUAUGGGGCCUAUCUACCUCAACUCACCAGAGUCAAAUCCAGCUGAAGAACAGGAGGGUGAGUAGAAAGAAAUGACAGACAACAUGGAGGAGAAUGAAGAGGAAUAUAAGAAGCAGGAGCUUGAGGAGCAACAGACACACCGAAAGUGCCUUUGAAGGUGGGCGUUAAAUCAGUCUUUCUGUUUAUGCUUGACCUCUCUGAAUGAUACAGAUAGAUCGCUGGUAGGAACAUCCUCUGAUUUAAGGAUCUCCAGCUCAGGGAUCCGAGAUAAGCAAAAGUUUGCAAAGGCAAACUAGUUUUUCUAGUUCUCUCUGACUUUUGUAGCAGUGCAGAAAGAAGCCGUUCAGAGACGAGCUUCACACAAGAAAGCCAAAGCCAUGCAGGUAAAACAUGUUUCUGAAUGCUGCUCUAAAGUGUGUCACUGGUUGUUCUUCUAGUCUUCAGAGACAACUAUAAAUAAAUCAUUUGUUCGUUAAUUUCCAGGUUACACAUCUUUACAACCAAAGUAAAAAUUAAACGUUAAUUAUAUUCAUGAUUUCCCUUCACAGGCUGAUGUAAAUCCUGACAUUGCUGCCAGAAAGAAGGUAAAAGAAGCGGUUAAAGAAAAACGAGGCCAAAAAGCAGAAAAUCGCAUUUGUGUGUACAGGAUAUAAAG